rnacentral:rRNA from 1 species
GACGAACGCUGGCGGCGUGCCUAACACAUGCAAGUGGAGCGACGAACCGGACUUCGGUCCGGGGCAAAGCCGCGAACGGGUGAGUAACACGUGGGUAACCUGCCCUGAUGAUUGGGACAACCCGAGGAAACUCGGGCUAAUACCGAAUGUGUCCAUCGGCCUCAAGGCCUUUGGGGAAAGGAAGCUUCGGCCUCCGCAUCGGGAUGGGCCCGCGGCCCAUUAGCUUGUUGGUGGGGUAAUGGCCCACCAAGGCGACGAUGGGUAGCUGGUCUGAGAGGACGAUCAGCCACACUGGGACUGAGACACGGCCCAGACUCCUACGGGAGGCAGCAGUGGGGAAUCUUGCGCAAUGCGCGAAAGCGUGACGCAGCAACGCCGCGUGGGGAAGACGGCCU